GUCCUAGCCCUAAACGAUGUUCAUUAGAUGUGAGAGGUAUCGACCCCUUUCGCGUCGAAGCUAACGCAUUAAAUGAACCGCCUGGGGAGUACGGCCGCAAGGUUGAAACUCAAAGGAAUUGACGGGGGCCCGCACAAGCGGUGGAGCAUGUGGUUUAAUUCGACGCAACGCGAAGAACCUUACCUACCCUUGACAUGUCUAGAAGUUACCAGAGAUGGUUUCGUGCUCGAAAGAGAACUAGAACACAGGUGCUGCAUGGCCGUCGU
rnacentral:rRNA from 1 species